rnacentral:rRNA from 1 species
UAAUUGAAGAGUUUGAUCAUGGCUCAGAUUGAACGCUGGCGGCAGGCCUAACACAUGCAAGUCGAGCGGUAACAGGAGAAAGCUUGCUUUCUUGCUGACGAGCGGCGGACGGGUGAGUAAUGUAUGGGGAUCUGCCCGAUAGAGGGGGAUAACUACUGGAAACGGUGGCUAAUACCGCAUAAUGUCUACGGACCAAAGCAGGGGCUCUUCGGACCUUGCACUAUCGGAUGAACCCAUAUGGGAUUAGCUAGUAGGUGGGGUAAAGGCUCACCUAGGCGACGAUCUCUAGCUGGUCUGAGAGGAUGAUCAGCCACACUGGGACUGAGACACGGCCCAGACUCCUACGGGAGGCAGCAGUGGGGAAUAUUGCACAAUGGGCGCAAGCCUGAUGCAGCCAUGCCGCGUGUAUGAAGAAGGCCUUAGGGUUGUAAAGUACUUUCAGCGGGGAGGAAGGUGAUAAGGUUAAUACCCUUAUC